UUAAGAUUUUUAAGAAGACGGCCCAAGAAGAAUCUGGUAAGAAACUGGAGAAAAGAAAAGCAGGAUAAACAAGCAGGAAGAAGCCAGUUCAGUCCAGUGAAGUGCUAGCUGCAUUCAUAAAACAGGGAUCAAGACCAUAAAAAUCACUGCAGAGUUUGUUCUCCAUUAAGGGCAGGGAGCUGGAUUUUCAUAAUCCUCUGCUCGUCAAUUGCUGGUGGAGAGAGGGCCUAACUCCAGGCACAGUUAUCUCUUGGAACGUCUAAACAUCUGGACAUUUGGUACACAGAACCAUUAAGGGGAUCACAGAAUAGAUACUUAAAGUUGCUCUGUUAACUUGCCAUGCUUGGAGUAGUGAAUUAUCAUACCAGGACUCUUAGCUAGUUGGGUGAAUACUAACUACAGGACACUGACUGGCUGAGAAGAUGGAGUGAAACAUCUCAGAUCAUUCAGAGACUGCCAGCAAUGAAUUUAUAAAAUAGCCUUUGAAGACAAAAUCAUCUGGUCAGGCUGCCUGCAGAUUCAGACCCUUGGCUCUGCUGCCUUAUUGCCAGUUACAUUACAGUAUAUGACAAGGGUUUAUUAAUGCUGUACUGUAGUCAACAUCCAUGCAAGCAUAUACAAUGGCCCCCAUGCAGAAAAAAGUUGCAAAGAAAGGUGGUAAGAAGAUGAUUAUGGUGGAAGUUAAGAAGGAAAUCAUGAAGAAGUAUGAACGAGGUAUGUGAGUGGCCAAAUUUGCAAGAUUUUAUAAGACGUCUUUGCAUCUCAUCUGCAGAGGAGGAAGAGAAAAAGCUGAAGUCUUCUUUGUCAAGUAAUCAAUGUGUUUACUGAAUGAUAAAAGCGAUGUCAAGAAGCUGGUGAGACUCAAAGUUAUUUGGAAGAUAUAAUGCGGGCCAGGGAAAAUUCACCAACGUGAACUGUACCAUCAUUAGUCAGAACUGAUGAUAUGCAAGAGAAAAACAGAACAUCUGUUUGCAUUUUUCCAAAGUAGAAGAGUGAGAAAUUGGUUUGUUCCCUUAAUGUCACUAAGCCAGCCGAGACCAACUUGAAUACAGUGGCGUUUUCUACAUCAGGGUUUUGGAAAGUAAAAGUAUAUUUAUGGAAACUGCAAGCUUUUAAACAUCAUGCCUACAGCUUUUUCAUGCCAACAGCCUACAAUCAGGGCUCAGCUGAAGCCUUUCCUUGUGUCCAGUCUACUCCUCUGCCUGCUUUUGAUUCUCUGCCAAAACGCAUGUAAUGGUGGCUGACAACCUUGCUGUGACAAGCUCUGAAUAAAUAGCCUUUGCUUCUCUCA